AGCUCACCCCUAUUAGAUAUGAAAAAAGCUGCGUAAUAUCCUCAACUAUAGCCACCGCUGCCAAAUGGCCCCAAUCCAUAGAUAGAGGGCAAAGGAGACCCCAAGAAAGCUCUUGAGUCCCUCUUGCUCUUUUCUUCCCAUUGUUCUCUGAUAAACUUGAGCGUUGGAGGAUUUCUGCUCGAAAUAAUUCCAACAAGGGACUUAUCGUAUAGAUUCGGUCUUCUCCCUUGUUCAGCUCGGUAAAGGCUUCCUUGUGCCUCGGAGUUACUAACGUAGAUGUCAUUUCGGGGACCAAUAGCAACAUAGAUCAAUAAAACGCA
rnacentral:lncRNA from 1 species